UUACCNUGCAAGUCGACGAUGAUGCCCAGCUUGCUGGGCGGAUUAGUGGCGAACGGGUGAGUAAUACGUGAGUAACCUGCCCUUGACUCUGGGAUAAGCCUGGGAAACUGGGUCUAAUACUGGAUACUACCGUCCACCGCAUGGUGGGUGGUGGAAAGGGUUUUACUGGUUUUGGAUGGGCUCACGGCCUAUCAGCUUGUUGGUGGGGUAAUGGCUCACCAAGGCGACGACGGGUAGCCGGCCUGAGAGGGUGACCGGCCACACUGGGACUGAGACACGGCCCAGACUCCUACGGGAGGCAGCAGUGGGGAAUAUUGCACAAUGGGCGGAAGCCUGAUGCAGCGACGCCGCGUGAGGGAUGACGGCCUUCGGGUUGUAAACCUCUUUCAGUAGGGAAGAAGCGAGAGUGACGGUACCUGCAGAAGAAGCGCCGGCUAACUACGUGCCAGCAGCCGCGGUAAUACGUAGGGCGCAAGCGUUGUCCGGAAUUAUUGGGCGUAAAGAGCUCGUAGGCGGUUUGUCGCGUCUGCUGUGAAAGCCCGGGGCUCAACCCCGGGUCUGCAGUGGGUACGGGCAGACUAGAGUGCAGUAGGGGAGACUGGAAUUCCUGGUGUAGCGGUGAAAUGCGCAGAUAUCAGGAGGAACACCGAUGGCGAAGGCAGGUCUCUGGGCUGUUACUGACGCUGAGGAGCGAAAGCAUGGGGAGCGAACAGGAUUAGAUACCCUGGUAGUCCAUGCCGUAAACGUUGGGCACUAGGUGUGGGGGACAUUCCACGUUUUCCGCGCCGUAGCUAACGCAUUAAGUGCCCCGCCUGGGGAGUACGGCCGCAAGGCUAAAACUCAAAGGAAUUGACGGGGGCCCGCACAAGCGGCGGAGCAUGCGGAUUAAUUCGAUGCAACGCGAAGAACCUUACCAAGGCUUGACAUUCACCGGACCGCCCCAGAGAUGGGGUUUCCCUUCGGGGCUGGUGGACAGGUGGUGCAUGGUUGUCGUCAGCUCGUGUCGUGAGAUGUUGGGGUUAAGUCCCGCAACGAGCGCAACCCUCGUUCUAUGUUGCCAGCACGUGAUGGUGGGGGACUCAUAGGAAGACUGCCCGGGGUCAACUCGGAAGGAAGGUGGGGGAUGACGUCAAAUCAUCAUGCCCCCUUAUGUCUUGGGGCUUCACGCAUGGCUACAAUGGGCC
rnacentral:rRNA from 1 species